rnacentral:rRNA from 1 species
GUGAGGAAUAUUGCGCAAUGGAGGCAACUCUGACGCAGCCAUGCCGCGUGCAGGAAGAAGGCGCUACGCGUUGUAAACUGCUUUUAACCGGGAAGAAACCCCAGGACGUGUCCUGGGUUGACGGUACCGGAGGAAUAAGCACCGGCUAACUUCGUGCCAGCAGCCGCGGUAAUACGAAGGGUGCAAGCGUUAUCCGGAUUCAUUGGGUUUAAAGGGUGCGUAGGCGGAGCGUUAAGUCAGUGGUGAAAUCCUGCAGCUUAACUGUAGACUUGCCAUUGAUACUGGCGCUCUUGAGUGCGCUUGAAGUGGGCGGAAUGUGCCGUGUAGCGGUGAAAUGCUUAGAUAAGGCACAGAACACCAAUUGCGAAGGCAGCUCACUAAGGCGAUACUGACGCUGAGGCACGAAAGCGUGGGGAUCAAACAGGAUUAGAAACCCCGGUAGUCC